UGCUGCAUGGCUGUCGUCAGCUCGUGUCGUGAGAUGUCGGUUAAGUCCGCUAACGAGCGCAGCCCUCGCUGUGUGUUACAAGUGUCACACGGUACUGCCGGUCUAAGACCGGAGGAAGGUGGGGAUGACGUCAAGUCAGCAUGGCCUUUAUAUCCUGGGCUACACACACGCUACAAUGGCCGGUACAGUAGGUAGCGAAGCCGCGAGGUGGAGCCAAUCCACAAAGCCGGUCUCAGUUCAGAUUGCAGGCUGCAACCCGCCUGCAUGAAGAUGGAGUUGCUAGUAACCGCAGGUUAGCUAUACUGCGGUGAAUACGUUCCCGGGGCUU
rnacentral:rRNA from 1 species